CCCCUGACGUCAGGGUCCGCUAGGGCCACGUGAUGACAACACAACAAGCGAAGGGGCGGGGAGGGGGCGUUCCUAGGCGAGCUCCGGAUCUGGAGACGCGGGAGUCACGCUGACUCGCGCCCCUGGAAUGAAUUCUUGCGUGUCAUUUGUACUGGCCUGGUGGAGUGACUGAUGCGGCUGGAACCGAGAUAGAGAUUACUCACAAAAGCUUAACGAGACAUUAGACAAGAUCAGCCAUCAUUUCCAGGGAAUUUUCCUGCUGACAAACUUUGCAAUUGAGUUUCUUCUAAAGAGGGAGACCCAGAAUCCGGAG